AACGAACGCUGGCGGCAGGCUUAACACAUGCAAGUCGAACGAAGUCUUCGGACUUAGUGGCGCACGGGUGAGUAACGCGUGGAUAUCUGCCUUUUGGUUCGGAAUAACUCCGGGGAAACUGGAGCUAAUACCGGAUGGUUCCUACGGGAUAAAGAUUUAUCGCCAAAAGAUGAGUCCGCGUACGAUUAGCUAGUUGGUGAGGUAAUGGCUCACCAAGGCGACGAUCGUUAGCUGGUCUGAGAGGACGAUCAGCCACACUGGGACUGAGACACGGCCCAGACUCCUACGGGAGGCAGCAGUGGGGGAAUAUUGGACAAUGGGGGGCAACCCUGAUCCAGCCAUGCCGCGUGAGUGAUGAAGGCCUUCGGGUUGUAAAGCUCUUUUGGCGGGGACGAUGAUGACGGUACCCGCAGAAUAAGCCCCGGCUAACUUCGUGCCAGCAGCCG
rnacentral:rRNA from 1 species